rnacentral:tRNA from 1 species
GAAGGUGUAGCUCAGUGGUAGAGCACAUGCUUAGUAUGCACAAGGCCCUGGGUUUGAGUCUCACCACCCCCA